rnacentral:rRNA from 1 species
UUGGAAAUGGGCGCAAGCCUGAUCCAGCAAUGCCGCGUGUGUGAAGAAGGCCUUCGGGUUGUAAAGCACUUUUAUCAGGAGCGAAAUGCUAUCGGCUAAUACCCGGUGGAGCUGACGGUACCUGAGGAAUAAGCACCGGCUAACUUCGUGCCAGCAGCCGCGGUAAUACGAAGGGUGCAAGCGUUAAUCGGAAUUACUGGGCGUAAAGGGUGCGUAGGCGGUUAUUUAAGUCUGCCGUGAAAUCCCCGGGCUCAACCUGGGAAUGGCGGUGGAUACUGGAUAGCUAGAGUGUGUCAGAGGAUGGUGGAAUUCCCGGUGUAGCGGUGAAAUGCGUAGAGAUCGGGAGGAACAUCAGUGGCGAAGGCGGCCAUCUGGGACAACACUGACGCUGAAGCACGAAAGCGUGGGGAGCAAACAGGAUUAGAUACCCUGGUAGUCCACGCCCUAAACGAUGCGAACUGGAUGUUGGUCU